rnacentral:rRNA from 1 species
CCUACGGGUGGCAGCAGUGGGGAAUAUUGCACAAUGGGGGAAACCCUGAUGCAGCAACGCCGCGUGAGUGAAGAAGUAUUUCGGUAUGUAAAGCUCUAUCAGCAGGGAAGAAGAAAGACGGUACCUGACUAAGAAGCCCCGGCUAACUACGUGCCAGCAGCCGCGGUAAUACGUAGGGGGCAAGCGUUAUCCGGAUUUACUGGGUGUAAAGGGAGCGUAGACGGCUGUGCAAGUCUGAAGUGAAAGCCCGUGGCUCAACCGCGGAACUGCAUUUGAAACUGUUGGUCUUGAGUAUCGGAGAGGCAGGCGGAAUUCCUAGUGUAGCGGUGAAAUGCGUAGAUAUUAGGAGGAACACCAGUGGCGAAGGCGGCCUGCUGGACGACAACUGACGGUGAGGCGCGAAAGCGUGGGGAGCAAACAGGAUUAGAUACCCUGGUAGUC